GAUGAAGAACGUAGCGAAAUGCGAUACGUAGUGUGAAUUGCAGAAUUCCGUGAACCAUCGAAUCUUUGAACGCAUAUUGCGCCCGAGGCUUCGGCCGAGGGCAUGUCUGCCUCAGCGUCGGUUUUACCCCCUCGCUUUAUCAACUUAGGAUGAAGCCUCCGGGCUGUUAAAGCGGAUCUGGCCUUCCCAACUUAGCAAUAGGUUGGGUCGGCUGAAGUGCAGAGGCUAGAGCUUGGACCCGAUAUGGGCUUCAACUGGAUAGGUAGCACCAGCCUCGGCUGACUACACGAAGUUGUAGCUUGUGGACUUUGUUAGGGGCCAAGCAGGAAACAUGCUUGAUUGCAUGCUUAAACUUUCGACCUGAGCUCAGGCAAGGCUACCCGCUGAACUUAAGCAUAUCAAUAAGCGGAGGA
rnacentral:misc_RNA from 1 species